ensembl:lncRNA
CCGAAAAUGUAUCUGAUGAUUAUAGGGGCGUGCUGGAAUAGACUACGUUUUUUAUUUAAUGUUUUGUUUUUGAGAAGAAGGCGUUUUACCACACAUAUUCUGCGAAAUAAGCGCUCAAGAGGUGGCCUUGCUAUUGUAUGUAACGUUAUAUUUAAUGUAGACUUAUGUCGUUCUAUAUGAGCAUCGGUCAGCUAAAUUACUGAAAUGUAUGCAGGUGAAUGUAUCUGCUUAGGUGGUAAGCCUAACCACAAUUAUAAUUGUCUCAACGUUUGCCACGACGUUAAUCUGUUGUGUGUAUUUCUUUGACAAUUGUUCCAAAUUUAUUUAAAUGAGGAAAACUAUUGCCAGCCUUGCAGUACGCUGUUAAUAUUGUUGCAUUUUAAUAACGUCCCAGAUCGCAUAAAAUAUCCGCACGGCUUCUUUUUGCCGCCGGCCCUAAGCUGUCGGCUAUAGGUGCGUCCUGCUGGCGGGGAUGAAACGUUUGCCGCCGAAUAAGUCACUCCCAUUUCUUGCGAGAUGCCGCCGGCAAUCAUCCGGCGGUCUGACUGCUUCAUUUUCUCUGGCUGUUGCCUCGGUCUAAUGGACUGCGUCCGUCCGGCGACAAGCCGCUUUUAAAUACAAGGCUACUCUCAAAAUCAACCAGCCAUGUUGGUUUGGACACACAUUCGCAUCAGUUCGUCGUUCAAUCGCGAGUUACUACAGCCUGCAGUUUGCUAGCUAGCAAAGUCAUAGACUACCAUCGUUUAAAUACCUUGACCAGAGCAUAACCGGUUAUCUUCACCCAAGAGACCUACUGUUGGUCAAUCGUUUUGGCUUUAAAGGUAAAUGCAUUGUUAGUCACAAUGUCUAGUUACUGGGCCAAAAGGAAAAUAAUAUUUUGAGAUGGACAAACAGGACAUUCACUUCACUACAUGCUAAUGAAGUUGGAUCGAUUCCAGAAAACCAGGAAAAUGUUGAGCCAUCUGUAGACUUCAGAGCUGGUAUGUAAAAUGUAUUGCUGUGAUGCUUAAUUUGUGAUCCUGUAACUAAACUCUACACUUUGUUAGAUUUUCACAUUUCUGUUCCCUCGUUCUCAGAACCAGGUUUCUCCCCAGUAAUCCAGACUCCAGUUCAGAGCGUUGUGCUUAACUAAGUUUUACAUUUAAGUCCAAAUCAUUAAAUGUAUGCAAUUACUUCAAACAUAUUUUUACAUCAAUGGAGAAAGUCAUCGCUUUGUUAUUGGCCCUUGGACGCCCCUGGCAUCUUGUGUACAGCACAAAGUUUUCAGCUAUGAAGGUAUAUUCUAGGCCUAUGUCUUAUUGUCCAGUGUUUUAACAGUAUUGAAAAUAUUGCCUUUGGUAGUUGUUUGUUUAUGUAGAUUUCCAGAGACUCCAGAAUGAAAACCAAGCCCUGAAGGAAUGCAAUGCACAAGCAGCUUUGGAUGACAGCCGCUCACUUAAACAGCAGGUGAAGCAAGUAGGGACAAUGUUGAAGACGUUUGCUCUAACUGGGCAAUCAGGUGCGUUACCUGAAAGGAGCAUCUGACCGUGAAGGCAGAAAAAGCCGCACAGCUGAGAAAGACCCACAGCCGACCCCUUAAACCUAGGCUGACACCCCAGCAUCACUGAACUGGAACACUUUCUUUAUCCUGCAGUCAGUAACAUCAAGAAGCCAGAAGUGCCAGACUACACUCACCAAAUCCACCCUGUUCACUGUUUUUUUUAUUUUUAUUUUAACUUAUGCAUUGGCUUAUUUCAUUCCGUCAGUGCUUAACGAUUUGCUUAACGUUUGUAAAUCCUAUUUCAUACCUGUUACUUGAUAUUGCACGUUAACUAGUACCAAAAUUCUACUUUCAUUCCAUCAGUGUGCUUAACUGUUAUUCUAUUAAUAAUAGCGUGGAAAUACUAUUUCAUACCUCUGAUACUUGAUAUUGCACAUUACCUGGUACCAAAUAUUCUACUUACUCUGUUUUUAACAUCAGCAUUUUUCAUUCCGUCACAGUGCUUAACUGUUAUUCUAUUGUUAAAUAUAGCUUGUAAAUCCUUGCAGUUAUAAUGGUCUGUUCUACUACUGUUAAACACAACUUGAUAUAUAUCAAGUUUUGUUUAUCACAGAUACAAGAGACGCAGAUCUUAUUGCAGCACGGUGUAAAUCUUGUGCUCCAGGUCAGCAAUGGCAUUAUAAUGGUCUAUUCUACUCUAGAGCUUUACUUUAAAUUAUUACCACUUUUCCUAUUGUUAGAAAUUGCUUGAAAAUGUGAUGUUAUACCUCGAUUUAUUUGGUAUCCUGCACAUUCUUUGGUACCAAAUAUCCUCAUUACUUAUGUUUACUGGUAAUUAUUUUCAUCCCUGAGCUGACCUCUUUAUAUUAUUAACAAUUAUUGUGUUUGUGUUAUAAUUUUCCAAAACUCAAAAAUAAUCAGUCCGGAAGGAUUAGGAUAGAGCAACUGUCUGUGUCCACCACUUGUAAAACCAUUCCCUUUUUGGGGGUUGUCUUUCUGUAGCUUCUCCAGUGCACCUGUUGUCACUUUCAUUCACACCAAACGUGCAAUUGAUUCACAAUCGCUUAUGCUUCCUAACUGGCCAGAUUGAUUUCCCUGAAGUUUAAUUGAUUUGUUGUUAUACUGUGAUGAUUACGCGUUGCAGUGUAUUUCCUAUUGAAUAUAACAUUUAAAUGAUUUGCACAUCAUUGCAUUCUGUUUUUCUUUACAUUUUACACAGUUACUCAACUUUUCUAGAUACAUG